AGAGGGCUCAGGGAAGAGCAGGAUGAAAGAUAAUGGAGGGAAAAAUAUGAGUUUUAUGAGAAGAAUAGAUGCAAGGGAAAGGAAUGGGUCAGAGAUGCUGAAGCACAGCAUGGUCACAGGAAGUUUGAGCGUGGCUCAAGCGCUGAUUUAGUGGAGGGACUUUGGACAAUCCAGGAGAAACUUCCAGAAAUCUCCAGAGAGACACCAAGGGAAAUCACUCUAUACAGAACAUAUGGGUACUUUUUCUAACACAAGCCUAGACUCAAAGCAAGGAAGUGUCAGCUGUGGAAACCAGGAGAAUGACUCAGCAGUGGCACCAAAGCUCAUCUGUUAGCAAUGCUGGGCUCUGAUGGGACUGAUGACAGCAAAUGUUCCAACUUCCCAAUCCUUCCAGGCCAUUUUACAGCCCAGGGAGGCUUAAUAGGACUUGUUUCAGAAGAGGCAAAUAGCAGUCCUUAAAAAGCUUGAAGUGGCACAAGAGAAGAGAGUUGUUCCUGCCCUGUAAGGACAUGUGGAAUCCCAGCAGAAACACCCUGAUGCAUGGAUGGCCAGCAACAAACACUGGGAGAGACCUGGGCCAUUUCCUGCCAAAGGUGGCCUUGGGCUUCUGCUCCCUGCUCUGGCUGUGGGAUGCAGUGACAGGAACAGAGCUGACUGCUCCAGCACAGCUCUGGCUGUGGGAUGCAGUGACAGGAACAGAGCUGACUGCUCCAGCACAGCUCUGGCUGUGGGAUGCAGUGACAGGAACAGAGCUGACUGCUCCAGCACAGCUCUGGCUGUGGGAUGCAGUGACAGGA